UUCCGUAACCAAAGAAAAUGAAAAAAACACAUAAAUAGAAAAUCAAGAAAAUGUGACCAACGAAAAUAAAUUGAACUAGAAUAAUGUGCAAAUAAAAUUUUACAAAUGAAAAUCACAUGAACCAACAGAUGAAAAUAAAACAAUGAAUGUCCCGGGGAAUCCCCUAGCGUGACGUCCCAUUCCCUCUCAGACAGCUGCCCAGACGAGACGCACCCACCCGAGGGGGCAAUCAACCAUAACUCUACAAAUCCUCGGGUUUCCGGUGUGUAUUGUAACAUUGCUGACCCACGUCACAAAGUAUGCCCUUCUGCCUGCGUGAGGCGUGAGGAGUGAGGAGGAGAAGCGGCUAUAAGUCUGAAGAUAGAGAAGAGGAAAGAAAGUGAAGAAAAGUGAGAAGUGGAAAAGAAAAAGUGAAAAGUACCACACCCGGACUUAACGUAAGAUCUUAAGGAAACAGUGAACUUUAAGGUUACAUUGGUCACGUAAUAAUAUAUAAUAAGUGCACAAAAAUAGGGGUAAUAGGAUAUUAGUUUAUUGCUUCAUCAUUUGAAUUAUUUUGCGGGUUUUUAUUUAUUCUUUUAUAAUUUUAUAUUGUGUGUAUUGUGCGUGUAGUGUGAAAUAGUAAUAAAUCUAGAUAUUAAAA
rnacentral:lncRNA from 1 species